AGGAGCGGUUAACGGGGCAGACUUGAAACCUGCUGGCCUUUCGCCGCGGACAUUCGACUCCUCCCUU
rnacentral:tRNA from 12 species